rnacentral:rRNA from 28 species
GGUCAGGCGGGACUACCCGCUGAAUUUAAGCAUA